rnacentral:rRNA from 1 species
GAUGAACGCUGGCGGCGUGCUUAACACAUGCAAGUCGAACGAGAAAUGUAGACGGACACCUUCGGGCGGAAGCCUUCAUUUCGAGUGGCGGACGGGUGAGUAACGCGUGGGUAACCUGCCUCAUACAGGGGGAUAACAGUUGGAAACGACUGUUAAUACCGCAUAAGACCACAGCAUCGCAUGAUGCGGGGGUAAAAACUCCGGUGGUAUGAGAUGGACCCGCGUUCGAUUAGCCAGUUGGCGGGGUAACGGCCCACCAAAGCGACGAUCGAUAGCCGAUCUGAGAGGAUGACCGGCCACAUUGGGACUGAGACACGGCCCAAACUCCUACGGGAGGCAGCAGUGGGGAAUAUUGCACAAUGGGGGAAACCCUGAUGCAGCGACGCCGCGUGAGUGAAGAAGUACUUCGGUAUGUAAAGCUCUAUCAGCAGGGAAGAAAAUGGCGGUACCUGAGUAAGAAGCCCCGGCUAACUACGUG